rnacentral:rRNA from 1 species
CCUACGGGUGGCAGCAGUGGGGAAUAUUGGACAAUGGGCGAAAGCCUGAUCCAGCAAUACCGCGUGUGUGAAGAAGGCCUUAGGGUUGUAAAGCACUUUCAAUUGGGAGGAAAAAACUAGGGUCAAUACCCCUAGUCUUGACAUUACCUUUAGAAGAAGCACCGGCUAACUCCGUGCCAGCAGCCGCGGUAAUACGGAGGGUGCGAGCGUUAAUCGGAAUUACUGGGCGUAAAGAGUGCGUAGGCGGCUCGUUAAGUCAGAUGUGAAAGCCCUGGGCUCAACCUGGGAACUGCAUUUGAAACUGGCGAGCUAGAGUUGAGUAGAGGUAAGUGGAAUUUCAGGUGUAGCGGUGAAAUGCGUAGAUAUCUGAAGGAACACCAGUGGCGAAGGCGACUUACUGGACUCAAACUGACGCUGAGGUACGAAAGCGUGGGUAGCAAACAGGAUUAGAUACCCCAGUAGU